rnacentral:rRNA from 1 species
CCUACGGGACGCAGCAGUGGGGAAUAUUGCACAAUGGGGGAAACCCUGAUGCAGCGACGCCGCGUGAGUGAAGAAGUCAUUCGUGAUGUAAAGCUCUAUCAGCAGGGAAGAAAAUGACGGUACCUGACCAAGAAGCCCCGGCUAACUACGUGCCAGCAGCCGCGGUAAUACGUAGGGGGCAAGCGUUAUCCGGAUUUACUGGGUGUAAAGGGAGCGUAGACGGUUGCGCAAGUCUGGAGUGAAAGUCGGGGGCCCAACCCCCGGCCUGCUCUGUAAACU